UAAAGGAUGUGAACAUAUACAACAAUUUUGCUGAUGCUGUUCGCUGACAGAUUAACCAAGUACUUCCGUUGGACGGAAGAGGUGCAAGUAAACUUAACUGAUAACACUUCUGUAUACUACUAUUUGUAUAAUACUUUUUGUGCAAGUUACGUGUUUACAAUCACUGCUUAUUGUAUGAAAUGGCUUUGAGAAAUAUUUUGUUUGCUCUUGUUGUUAUCUCUACUUAUUCGAAUCUUGUAAAUUCAGACGGAGGUACAUGUAAAACUACAUUUGAGAACAAAGAAGUAGAAAUUAAUAAUGGCGAUACAGUUUGGCUGAACCCAUGCCUUUUUUGUUGGUGCUAUGAAGUUACCAAAGAAGCCGUAUGUAAUACUGUAGACUGUCCGACAUGGAGUUGUGAUGACGGCCUCCAACUGACAUAUCUGGACGGACAAUGUUGUCCAUCUUGUCUUCCAAAUGAUCAGUGAUUUUAUAGCGUUUAUAUCAUAUAACAGUUAGCUUUGAGUUGGCAAUUAAAGUAUUUUACUUUC